GGCAUUAAUAAUAUAUAAUUAAAAAAAGCAUAUCUCAUACUUGAGCUAUUAGUGUUUAUCGCUGCCCAUACUUUUGCCAAUAUACUCAAUCAAAUCCUUCUUAAGCUGGAAAUGAGCUGACCGAUCUUCAAUAUCUUCAUUCUUAUCUACUAGCAGUCUUUUAAAUGUAGCUUCAACAAGAGAUGUACUUGGAGGCUCGUUCAAAUCAAGAUUUUCUUCAUGUCUUCUUCCUUUUCAUCUUCCACUAUCAU
rnacentral:lncRNA from 1 species